rnacentral:rRNA from 1 species
GGAGUUAGCCGGUGCUUCUUCUGUGAGUGAUGUCCUUCCUGCCGGCUAUUAACCCGCAGGCCUUCUUCCUCACUGAAAGUGCUUUACAACCCGAAGGCCUUCUUCACACACGCGGCAUGGCUGGAUCAGGGUUGCCCCCAUUGUCCAAUAUUCCCCACUGCUGCCUCCCGUAGGAGUCUGGGCCGUGUCUCAGUCCCAGUGUGGCUGAUCAUCCUCUCAGACCAGCUACGGAUCGUCGCCUUGGUGAGCCGUUACCUCACCAACCAGCUAAUCCGACAUAGGCUCAUCCGAUAGCGCGAGGCCCGAAGGUCCCCCGCUUUCCCCCGUAGGGCGUAUGCGGUAUUAGCCUGGGUUUCCCCAGGUUAUCCCCCACUACCGGGCAGAUUCCUAUGCAUUACUCACCCGUCCGCCGCUCGCCACCAGGGAGCAAGCUCCCCGUGCUGCCGCUCGACUUGCAUGUGUAGCUGCCGCCACGCGUCAUCUGAGCAUAAUACAACUACUGA